rnacentral:rRNA from 1 species
AGCGAACGCUGGCGGCAGGCCUAACACAUGCAAGUCGAACGGACCCUUCGGGGUUAGUGGCGGACGGGUGAGUAACACGUGGGAACGUGCCUUUAGGUUCGGAAUAGCUCCUGGAAACGGGUGGUAAUGCCGAAUGUGCCCUUCGGGGGAAAGAUUUAUCGCCUUUAGAGCGGCCCGCGUCUGAUUAGCUUGUUGGUGGGGUAAUGGCCCACCAAGGCUACGAUCAGUAGCUGGUCUGAGAGGAUGACCAGCCACAUUGGGACUGAGACACGGCCCAAACUCCUACGGGAGGCAGCAGUGGGGAAUCUUGCGCAACGGGCGAAAGCCUGACGCAGCCAUGCCGCGUGUGUGAUGAAGGUCUUAGGAUUGUAAAAUACUUUCACCGGUGAAGAUAAUGACUGUAGCCGGAGAAGAAGCCCCGGCUAACUUCGUGCCAGCAGCCGCGGUAAUACGAAGGGGGCUAGCGUUGCUCGGAAUUACUGGGCGUAAAGGGAGCGUAGGCGGACACUUAAGUCAGGGGU